UACGGGGGGGGCAAGCGUUGUUCGGAAUUACUGGGCGUAAAGGGCUCGUAGGCGGCCAACUAAGUCGGACGUGAAAUCCCUCGGCUUAACCGGGGAACUGCGUCCGAUACUGGAUGGCUAGAGUUCGGGAGAGGGAUGCGGAAUUCCAGGUGUAGCGGUGAAAUGCGUGGAUAUCUGGAGGAACACCGGUGGCGAAGGCGGCAUCCUGGACCGACACUGACGCUGAGGAGCGAAAGCCAGGGGAGCAAACGGG
rnacentral:rRNA from 1 species